rnacentral:rRNA from 1 species
UAGGGAAUUUUCGUCAAUGGGCGCAAGCCUGAACGAGCGAUGCCGCGUGAGUGAAGAAGGCCUUGGUCGUAAAGCUCUGUUGCGGGGGGAAAAAAAGGGACAG